rnacentral:rRNA from 1 species
GACGAACGCUGGCGGCGCGCUUAACACAUGCAAGUCGAACGGAAAGGCCUGCUUUCCCUUGUGGAUUGCGGGUACUCGAGUGGCGAACGGGUGAGUACCACGUGAGUGAUCUGCCCCCAACUUGGGUAUAAGCCUGGGAAACUGGGUCUAAUUCCCGAUAGGACUGCAGGGUGGUGCCUGUGGUGGAAAACGAUUUUCUAGUGGUUGGGGAUGAGCUCGCGGCCUAUCAGCUUGUUGGUGGGGUAAUGGCCUACCAAGGCGGCGACGGGUAGCCGGCCUGAGAGGGGGGACAGCGACAUUGGGACUGGGAUACGGCCCAGACUCCUACGGGAGGCAGCAGUGGGGAAUAUUGCACAAUGGGCGGAAGCCUGAUGCAGCGACGCCGCGUGGGGGAUGACGGCCUUCGGGUUGUAAACUCCUUUCGACCGCGAGGAAGCCACCUGGUUGGAAGGGUGGUGACGGUAGUGGUAGAAGAAGCACCGGCUAACUACGUG